GGUGGAUGCCCUGGCAGUCAGAGGCGAUGAAGGGCGUACUAAUCUGCGAUAAGCGCCGGUAAGGUGAUAUGAACCGUUAUAACCGGCGAUACCCGAAUGGGGAAACCCAGUGUGAUUCGUCACACUAUCAUUAACUGAAUCCAUAGGUUAAUGAGGCGAACCGGGGGAACUGAAACAUCUAAGUACCCCGAGGAAAAGAAAUCAACCGAGAUUCCCCCAGUAGCGGCGAGCGAACGGGGAGGAGCCCAGAGCCUGAAUCAGCAUGUGUGUUAGUGGAAGCGUCUGGAAAGGCGCGCGAUACAGGGUGACAGCCCCGUACACAAAAGCGCAUGUGCUGUGAGCUCGAUGAGUAGGGCGGGACACGUGGUAUCCUGUCUGAAUAUGGGGGGACCAUCCUCCAAGGCUAAAUACUCCUGACUGACCGAUAGUGAACCAGUACCGUGAGGGAAAGGCGAAAAGAACCCCGGCGAGGGGAGUGAAAAAGAACCUGAAACCGUGUACGUACAAGCAGUGGGAGCACCCUUUGGGUGUGACUGCGUACCUUUUGUAUAAUGGGUCAGCGACUUAUAUUCUGUAGCAAGGUUAACCGAAUAGGGGAGCCGGAGGGAAACCGAGUCUUAACCGGGCGUUAAGUUGCAGGGUAUAGACCCGAAACCCGGUGAUCUAGCCAUGGGCAGGUUGAAGGUUGGGUAACACUAACUGGAGGACCGAACCGACUAAUGUUGAAAAAUUAGCGGAUGACCUGUGGCUGGGGGUGAAAGGCCAAUCAAACCGGGAGAUAGCUGGUUCUCCCCGAAAGCUAUUUAGGUAGCGCCUCGUGAAUUCAUCUCCGGGGGUAGAGCACUGUUUCGGCUAGGGGGCCAUCCCGGCUUACCAACCCGAUGCAAACUGCGAAUACCGGAGAAUGUUAUCACGGGAGACACACGGCGGGUGCUAACGUCCGUCGUGAAGAGGGAAACAACCCAGACCGCCAGCUAAGGUCCCAAAGUCAUGGUUAAGUGGGAAACGAUGUGGGAAGGCCCAGACAGCCAGGAUGUUGGCUUAGAAGCAGCCAUCAUUUAAAGAAAGCGUAAUAGCUCACUGGUCGAGUCGGCCUGCGCGGAAGAUGUAACGGGGCUAAACCAUGCACCGAAGCUGCGGCAGCGACACUGUGUGUUGUUGGGUAGGGGAGCGUUCUGUAAGCCUGUGAAGGUGUGUCGUGAGGCAUGCUGGAGGUAUCAGAAGUGCGAAUGCUGACAUAAGUAACGAUAAAGCGGGUGAAAAGCCCGCUCGCCGGAAGACCAAGGGUUCCUGUCCAACGUUAAUCGGGGCAGGGUGAGUCGACCCCUAAGGCGAGGCCGAAAGGCGUAGUCGAUGGGAAACGGGUUAAUAUUCCCGUACUUGGUGUUACUGCGAAGGGGGGACGGAGAAGGCUAUGUUGGCCGGG
rnacentral:rRNA from 1 species